rnacentral:rRNA from 1 species
UACGUAGGGUGCGAGCGUUGUCCGGAAUUACUGGGCGUAAAGAGCUCGCAGGCGGUUUGUCGCGUCGUCCGUGAAAACUUGGGGCUCAACCCCAAGCUUGCGGGCGAUACGGGCAGACUUGAGUACUGCAGGGGAGACUGGAAUUCCUGGUGUAGCGGUGAAAUGCGCAGAUAUCAGGAGGAACACCGGUGGCGAAGGCGGGUCUCUGGGCAGUAACUGACGCUGAGGAGCGAAAGCGUGGGUAGCAAACAGG